AAAGAUUAAGCCAUGCAUGUCUAAGCAUAAGCCGAAUAUGGUUAAGCCGCGAAUGGCUCAUUACAACAGCCAUAGUUUAUUGGAUCUACUCAUCCUACUUGGAUACCUGUGGUAAUUCUAGAGCUAAUACACGCACCAAAGCCUCGACUUUACGGGAGAGGCGCAUUUAUUAGAACAAAACCAAUUGGCUUCGGCCAUCUAUUGGUGAGUCUGAAUAACUACGCUGAUCGCAUGGGCUUGUCCCGGCGACAUAUCCUUCAAGUGUCUGCCUUAUCAACUGUCGAUGGUAGUUUACAUGACUACCAUGGUUGUAACGGGUAACGGAGAAUCAGGGUUCGACUCCGGAGAGGGAGCCUGAGAAACGGCUACCACAUCCAAGGAAGGCAGCAGGCGCGCAAAUUACCCACUCUCGGAACGAGGAGGUAGUGACGAAAAAUAACGAGGCGGUUCUCUCUGAGGCCCGUCAUCGGAAUGGGUACAAUCUAAACCCUUUAACGAGGAUCUAUUGGAGGGCAAGUCUGGUGCCAGCAGCCGCGGUAAUUCCAGCUCCAAUAGCGUAUAUUAAAGUUGUUGCGGUUAAAAAGCUCGUAGUUGGAUCUGCGGUCACAGACGCCGGUUUCCUUCACGGAAUACUGGUUGUCUUGACCUACCUUGUUGGUUUUCCCUUGGUGCUCUUUACUGAGUGCCCUGGGUGGCUAGCACGUUUACUUUGAAAAAAUUAGAGUGCUUAACGCAGGCUUUUGCCUGAAUAGUGGUGCAUGGAAUAAUAGAAUAGGACCUUGGUUCUAUUUUGUUGGUUUUCGGAACACAAGGUAAUGAUUAAGAGGGACAGACGGGGGCAUUCAUAUUUCGACGUUAGAGGUGAAAUUCUUGGAUCGCCGCAAGACGAACGACUGCGAAAGCAUUUGCCAAGAAUGUUUUCAUUAAUCAAGAACGAAAGUUAGAGGUUCGAAGGCGAUCAGAUACCGCCCUAGUUCUAACCGUAAACGAUGUUAACUAGCGACUCGCAGGUGUUACUUUAACGGCCCUGCGAGGAGCUCCCGGGAAACGAAAGUCUUCGUAUUCCGGGGGAAGUAUAGCUGCAAAGCCGAAACUUAAAGGAAUUGACGGAAGGGCACCACCAGGGGUGGAGCCUGCGGCUUAAUUUGACUCAACACGGGGAAACUCACUUGGUCCGGACACUAGUAGGAUCGACAGGUUGAGAGCUCUUUCUUGAUUUGGUGGGUGGUGGUGCAUGGCCGUUCUUAGUUGGUGGAGUGAUUUGUCUGGUUAAUUCCGAUAACGAGCGAGA
rnacentral:rRNA from 1 species